CAAGACUUGACAUCCACAGGAUUUGAUAGAGAUAUCGAAGUGCUCGAAAGAGAACUGUGAGACAGGUGGUGCAUGGCUGUCGUCAGCUCGUGCCGUGAGGUGUUGGGUUAAGUCUCGCAACGAGCGCAACCCUCGAUGCUAGUUACCAUCAUUAAGUUGGGGACUCUAGCGUGACUGCCUGUGAUAAGCAGGAGGAAGGUGAGGACGACGUCAAGUCAUCAUGCCCCUUACGUCUUGGGCUACACACGUCCUACAAUGGUGCAGACAAAGGGCAGCAAGUUGGUAACAGCAAGCGAAUCCCAUAAACUGCAUCUCAGUUCGGAUUGUGGGCUGAAACUCGCCCACAUGAAGUCGGAAUCGCUAGUAAACGUAGAUCAGAACGCUACGUUGAAUACGUUCCCGGGCCUUGUACACACCGCCCGUCCACACCACGAAAGUUUGUCAUACCCGAAACCGUUCGUUCUAACCGCAAGGGGGAAGGCGUCUAAGGUAGGCC
rnacentral:rRNA from 1 species